rnacentral:lncRNA from 1 species
CUGUCUUGAAAAACAAAAAAAGAAAAAAAAAGAGAGAGAGACAGAGGGAAAGAGAAAAGGAAAGGAAAAUAGAAAAAAUACGUUCUAAUUUAAUAUUUGUGCACCAAGGUCAGGAUCUUCUUGAGAGACACUCAUGAAAUAUCUACUCAACUAUGUAUUUAUAUUCAUCUUUCCAAGCAGGUUAGAAACUUCCUGGUAUUUAUCUAUUUUCUAUACUAAUGAACUCCCUUUAACAUUAGCUGCACCAUCCACAUUUAAUAUCAAAAGUCAUUAAAACCUAGCCUGGUAUAUUUGGCUCGUAAUCCCAGCUAAGUCAGGAAAACCACAAAUUCAAAACCUACCAGGCUACGUAAACAGUUAAAGCAUUCCAGGGACUGAGCAAGCAGGGACUGAGCAAGCAGGGACUGAGCAAGCAGGGUCAAUGGGAGCAAGCAGAGGUCCCUAAAAAUAUUCAAUUCCCAACAACCACAUGAUGGCUCACAACCAUCUGUACAGUUACAGUGUACUCGUAUGCAUAAAUAAAUAAAUAAACCUUUUAAAAGUAAGAAUUUAUUUUUCUCAUAUACUAGUAAAUAUGUAUUUAAAUAUUUUUACUGAACACGGUUUUAAUAAAAUUACAUUAUUUGUGUGUGUGCAAAUGUGUGUGGCACACAUGCUACAGCAGCUGUGAAGAUUUAAAGACAACCUGUAAGAGUUGUUUUUUCCCUCUACUCUGAGUCCUGGGAUGGAACUUGAAUCAUGAAGCUUGGUGGCCAAAGCUUUUACUCAAAGAGCCAUCUCAGACUAAGCCUAUGUUUUCAGUAACAGCUUUACUGAGCUGACCCCUAUCGCACAAUCUACCCAUGGUAGUGUACAAUUCACUGGUUCUUAGUACAGUCUAGAAAACAUGCAACUCUCACCACAACUUUAACACACUUACUUAUCUCAAAAAGAAAUAAUAAGCAUGCUCUUGUCACUUCAUACCCCACCACACCUGGAAGCCCUGAGAAAUCACAAGUCUUGCUAUCCCUAUAAAACUGUCUGCUCUGGAUACUAUUUAGAAACAAAAUCACAUAAAUACAGACUUUUAUACCUGGAUUUUUAAACCCUAC